GAUGAAGAACGUAGCGAAAUGCGAUAAGUAAUGCGAAUUGCAGAAUUUCCGUGAGCCAUCGAAUCUUUGAACGCACAUUGCGCCCGCCAGCACUCUGGCGGGCAUGCCUGUUCGAGCGUCAUUUCAACCAUCAAGCCCCAGGCUUGCGUUGGAGCCCUGCGGCUGCCGCAGCCUCCUAAAAGCAGUGGCGGGCUCGCUAUCACACCGAGUGCAGUAGAUUACUCUUCGCUCAGGGCGUGCAGCGGGUUCCGGCCGUGAAACCCCCUACUUUUAAAGGUUGACCUCGGAUCAGGUAGGAAUACCCGCUGAACUUAAGCAUAUCAAUAAGCGGAGGA
rnacentral:misc_RNA from 1 species